rnacentral:rRNA from 1 species
AACGAACGCUGGCGGCAGGCUUAACACAUGCAAGUCGAGCGCCCCGCAAGGGGAGCGGCAGACGGGUGAGUAACGCGUGGGAAUCUACCCAUCUCUACGGAAUAACGCAUGGAAACGUGUGCUAAUACCGUAUACGUCCUUCGGGAGAAAGAUUUAUCGGAGAUGGAUGAGCCCGCGUUGGAUUAGCUAGUUGGUGGGGUAAAGGCCUACCAAGGCGACGAUCCAUAGCUGGUCUGAGAGGAUGACCAGCCACACUGGGACUGAGACACGGCCCAGACUCCUACGGGAGGCAGCAGUGGGGAAUAUUGGACAAUGGGCGCAAGCCUGAUCAGCCAUGCCGCGUGAGUGAUGAAGGCCCUAGGGUUGUAAAGCUCUUUCACCGGUGAAGAUAAUGACGGUAACCGGAGAAGAAGCCCCGGCUAACUUCGUGCCAGCCGCCGCGGUAAGAC